AAUUACCGUAUCUCGAUGCUACGUUAUUAUUCCGUUUUUAUUACCGUGAAUAUUAUUUCUGCGCUAGGUUUAUUCCCAACACUUGUGUGUUCUCGUGCCUUGGGUUAGUCUUUUCGAAAUCAAGGAUCUUAACUGCUCCAACUGAGUCAGUUACUGUUGUCAUUCUUAUUUUCUGAAACAUGUGGCUUUAUUUGUACUUAUGCCCGUGUGUGCACAAUUUGUUUUUUCGUGGCCAGCCCUGUAGUUCCUGAUGUGAGCAAUAGCCCUCGUAUUUCCUCAAAUGUAUUUGUGGAUGUUUUCUUUCUUUUUAAUUUGCUUUUUGAUCUUAAUUUGUGUUGCAUGCACUUGUCAUUCUUCAUAUGUUCUCAUGUAUAUUUUGUGCCUCGUCUUAGUUGUUUAAUUUGGAUACAGGCUUCAACUGUCAGUUGCUAUUUGAGUUUCAAAUGCACACUCUUAUUCUAACUAUAUAUUUUUCAGCCUUACCACUCUUCUCUCCUUGCUUACUGAGUUUAGUAUUCCCUUGACUUUAUAGAAAAAGUUGGAGAUGUAUAAUAUCAAUGAAGUUUUUAUGCUUAAAUCUCAAUAGCCACCCUAAGACUCUGACAACUACUACUGUCACCUGUGAAGAUAGUCAAAAUUCGAUAUAAUUAAUUUCCUUGUUUUUUCUAAGUUUUUAUAUUUAUGAAAAUUUCUUGUUCUGUUCAUUCCAGGGCUGCGAUGCAUCUGUUCUGCUUGCUGACAGCAGUAAGAAUAGGACUGUUGAACGUGAGGCGAUCCCAAAUCGGAGUUUCGGACACUGAAAGGGUUCAAUUUCAUCGACAUGAUAAAGGAUGAAAUUGAGGAGGCAUGCUCUGGGGUGGUCUCUUGUUCUGAUAUCCUUGUCCUUGCAACAAGAGAUGGCGUCGUUCUGUUUUUCCAGUUGCAAUCUUAACAAGGCGCUGCUCAGACUGAUAAGGGUGUAGGACGUUCGUGGAAGACAGUUAUGACGAUUCAGAUGAUCCAGUGACCGUGAGUGGGAGAAAGUGAAUUCAUAGUGGAGCCAUUUCUAUUGGAAGAAAGUCUAUUUAGGAUCUUAUUGAGGUGGUGUGGAACAAGUCGUUAGAAGAAAGUCCAUGCUAGAAAUUCAAAAGGUGAUUUCGCAAGUGUGUGAGUUGGUCGCGAUGAAUUGAUCAGUUACGAGUUUUUAUAACUUUAAGCUAGUUCAUUUAAUAUAGCCCAAGAAUUGAUACACUGAAACUAUAUUAGUUCGAGGUGAGAGCUUAAGCACAAUAUGAGUUACAUAAGUUCCCAUAUAGCAGUAGAUACUCUUGGAUAUUUUAAGAAUGAGACGGUUGAACUAUCAGUUUGAUAAAAACAUAAAGAGAAGACAGCAUCGACAUCAAAUGCUUAAGCAUUUUAGAUCGGAACUGCUUUUAUGCGCUGGAAAUUAAAAUAUCUGACUUUCAGAGUCACUGGCCAUAAAUUUAGACAGAGCCAAUAAGUUUAAAACCUACACCAGGAAACUAAACACAGUUCGCCUCAAAACUGACUGUUAGUUUGUACAAGUUCAACACUGGAAAGAUUCAUUGAAGCAUGAAACCGAAACCAAAAAUUGCUAAGUCUAAACAAGGUCAUCAAAAGACAGAAAGGCUCAUCAAAUUCUCUUUUAAGAUAGAAAUUUGAUUAUUGAUGUUUCAAGCUUGAGUUUGAUAGAGAGAAUAACAGCACCAUCAACAAUAUGUUCAAUGAACGAAUAGCUAGGAGUCUGAGUGAGUCUGCUAUGUCAUACUCUCAGGGACUAUCCGCAUUUUCCUCAAUCGGAGCUUCAUUUGAUAAUCACUAUUACAAGACUUUGAUUAGAGGAAGAGGGCUACUAUUUGCUGAUCAAAAGUUGAUGGCUAAUGAAAAGACGGCAGAAGUGGUGAUUGAUUAUGCUUUGGAUGACGGGACUAUGUUCCGAACAGAGUUUGCUCAUGCCAUGGCUAAAUUGUUAGAUUUUGUUGUUCUUACUGGAUCCCAAGGAGAGGUUCAGCGUAGCUGCUCCCAUCUGAAUUCUAAACCAGUAAGAGCUACUGAUCGGAACAUUUACGUACAAUAUGGUAUAGACCAGUUACACUUACUUCUUUUGUGUUGAAGUAGUGAUACUUAAAAGGAAUUUAAUCUUGUUGGAUUAACAAAUAGUACUUAUCUCUUCUAACCAUCACCAUAAAGAAACAAGUGCUAAAUUGCAAAAGCAUUUACGGUCA